rnacentral:misc_RNA from 1 species
GAAAUGCGAUAAGUAAUGUGAAUUGCAGAAUUCAGUGAAUCAUCGAAUCUUUGAACGCACAUUGCGCCCGCCAGUAUUCUGGCGGGCAUGCCUGUUCGAGCGUCAUUACAACCCUCAGGCCCCCGGGCCUGGCGUUGGGGAUCGGCGGAAGCCCCCUGCGGGCACAACGCCGUCCCCCAAAUACAGUGGCGGUCCCGCCGCAGCUUCCAUUGCGUAGUAGCUAACACCUCGCAACUGGAGAGCGGCGCGGCCACGCCGUAAAACACCCAACUUCCGAAUGUUGACCUCGAAUCAGGUAGGAAUACCCGCUGAACUGAAG